rnacentral:tRNA from 1 species
GAUCGUGUGGUUGGGCUUGAGCAGCACCGUGUUCUCGUCGACGAACGGGCCGUCGGCCGGUUCGACGCCGGUCAUGGUCA